rnacentral:rRNA from 1 species
AAUACAUGCAAGUAGAACGCUGAAGGAGGAGCUUGCUCUUCUGGAUGAGUUGCGAACGGGUGAGUAACGCGUAGGUAACCUGCCUGGUAGCGGGGGAUAACUAUUGGAAACGAUAGCUAAUACCGCAUAAGAGUAGAUGUUGCAUGACAUUUGCUUAAAAGGUGCAAUUGCAUCACUACCAGAUGGACCUGCGUUGUAUUAGCUAGUUGGUGAGGUAACGGCUCACCAAGGCGACGAUACAUAGCCGACCUGAGAGGGUGAUCGGCCACACUGGGACUGAGACACGGCCCAGACUCCUACGGGAGGCAGCAGUAGGGAAUCUUCGGCAAUGGACGGAAGUCUGACCGAGCAACGCCGCGUGAGUGAAGAAGGUUUUCGGAUCGUAAAGCUCUGUUGUAAGAGAAGAACGAGUGUGAGAGUGGAAAGUUCACACUGUGACGGUAUCUUACCAGAAAGGGACGGCUAACUACGUGCCAGCAGCCGCGGU